GAGUUUGAUCCUGGYUCMKAACGAACGCUGGCGGCGUGCUUAACACAUGCAAGUCRAGCGUGAUCCMSAGCUUGCUCUGGUGAAAGUGGCGCACGGGUGAGUAACGCGUGGAUAACCUGCCCUGGUAUCUGGGAUAACAUCKCGAAAGGGGUGCUAAUACCGGAUAAGCCUACGGACUCCUCGGAGUCUGCAGGAAAAGGAGGCCUCUAUUUAUAAGCUACCGUAUCAGGAUGAGUCCSCGUACCAUUAGYUAGUUGGUGGGGUAAUGGCCCACCAAGGCWACSAUGGUUAGCUGGUCUGAGAGGAUGAUCAGCCACMYUGGAACUGAGACACGGUCCAGACUCCUACGGGAGGCAGCAGUGGGGAAUUUUGCGCAAUGGGGGAAACCCUGACGCAGCAACGCCGCGUGAGUGAUGAAGGCUUUCGGGUCGUAAAGCUCUGUCAGAGGGGAAGAAAUGAGUCUGGYUAAUAUCCAGAUUUCUUGACGGUACCCUCAAAGGAAGCACCGGCUAACUCYGUGCCAGCAGCCGCGGUAAUAC
rnacentral:rRNA from 1 species